rnacentral:rRNA from 1 species
CACGUAGGCGGGUAUUUAAGUCAGGGGUGAAAUCCCAGAGCUCAACUCUGGAACUGCCUUUGAUACUGGGUACCUAGAGUAUGGAAGAGGUGAGUGGAAUUCCGAGUGUAGAGGUGAAAUUCGUAGAUAUUCGGAGGAACAUCAGUGGCGAAGGCGGCCACCUGGACCGGUAUUGACGCUGAGGUGCGAAAGCGUGGGGAGCAAACA